rnacentral:rRNA from 1 species
AUUGAACGCUAGCGGGAGGCUUUACACAUGCAAGUCGAACGAGUGGCGGACGGGUGAGUAAUAUAUCGGAACGUGCCCAGUAGCGGGGGAUAACUACUCGAAAGAGUGGCUAAUACCGCAUACGAUUGGAGGGGCCGAUAUCGGAUUAGCUAGUUGGUGGGGUAAAGGCUCACCAAGGCAACGAUCCGUAGCUGGUCUGAGAGGACGACCAGCCACACUGGAACGGAGACACGGCCCAGACUCCUACGGUAGGCAGCAGUGGGGAAUUUUGGACAAUGGGCGAAACCCUGAUCCAGCCAUCCCGCGUGUAUGAGAAGGCCUUCGGGUUGUAAAGUACUUUUGGCGGGGAAGCGGUACCUGCAGAAUAAGCACCGGCUAACUACGUGCCAGCAGCCGCGGUAAUAC